CACACCGCCCGUCACACCAUGGGAGUUUGCUGCACCAGAAGCAGGUAGCUUAACCGCAAGGAGGGCGAUUACCACGGCAGGGUUCGUGACUGGGGUG
rnacentral:rRNA from 1 species